rnacentral:rRNA from 1 species
CCUACGGGAGGCAGCAGUGAGGAAUAUUGGUCAAUGGGCGGAAGCCUGAACCAGCCAAGUAGCGUGAAGGAUGACGGCCCUACGGGUUGUAAACUUCUUUUAUACGGGAAUAACGCGCCUUACGUGUAGUGCUUUGCAUGUACCGUAUGAAUAAGGACCGGCUAAUUCCGUGCCAGCAGCCGCGGUAAUACGGAAGGUCCGGGCGUUAUCCGGAUUUAUUGGGUUUAAAGGGAGCGUAGGCCGCAUGUUAAGUGAGCUGUGAAAUGUCCGGGCUCAACCCGGGCCUUGCAGUGGAAACUGGCGUUCUUGAGUGCGCGGAAAGCAGGCGGAAUUCGUGGUGUAGCGGUGAAAUGCUUAGAUAUGACGAAGAACCCCGAUUGCGAAGGCAGCUUGCUGGAGCGGAACUGACGCUGAUGCUCGAAAGCGUGGGUAUCGAACAGGAUUAGAUACCCCGGUAGUC